rnacentral:rRNA from 1 species
UAAUACGGAGGGUGCAAGCGUUAAUCGGAAUUACUGGGCGUAAAGCGCACGCAGGCGGUUUGUUAAGUCAGAUGUGAAAUCCCCGAGCUUAACUUGGGAACUGCAUUUGAAACUGGCAAGCUAGAGUCUUGUAGAGGGGGGUAGAAUUCCAGGUGUAGCGGUGAAAUGCGUAGAGAUCUGGAGGAAUACCGGUGGCGAAGGCGUCCCCCUGGACAAAGACUGACGCUCAGGUGCGAAAGCGUGGGGAGCAAACAGGAUUAGAUACCCUGGUAGUCCACGCUGUAAACGAUGUCGACUUGGAGGUUGUGCCCUUGAGGCGUGGCUUCCGGAGCUAACGCGUUAAGUCGACCGCCUGGGGAGUACGGCCGCAAGGUUAAA